GAGUUUGAUCCUGGCUCAGGACGAACGCUGGCGGCGUGCUUAACACAUGCAAGUCGAACGGAGCACCCCUGAAGGAGUUUUCGGACAACGGAUGGGAAUGCUUAGUGGCGGACUGGUGAGUAACGCGUGAGGAACCUGCCUUCCAGAGGGGGACAACAGUUGGAAACGACUGCUAAUACCGCAUGACGCAUCGAAGUCGCAUGGCUUUGAUGUCAAAGAUUUAUCGCUGGAGGAUGGCCUCGCGUCUGAUUAGCUAGUUGGUGAGGUAACGGCCCACCAAGGCGACGAUCAGUAGCCGGACUGAGAGGUUGGCCGGCCACAUUGGGACUGAGAUACGGCCCAGACUCCUACGGGAGGCAGCAGUGGGGAAUAUUGGGCAAUGGACGCAAGUCUGACCCAGCAACGCCGCGUGAAGGAAGAAGGCUUUCGGGUUGUAAACUUCUUUUAAGGGGGAAGAGCGGAAGACGGUACCCCUUGAAUAAGCCACGGCUAACUACGUGCCAGCAGCCGCGGUAAUACGUAGGGAGCGGGCGUUGUCCGGAAUUACUGGGUGUAAAGGGAGCGUAGGCGGGACGGCAAGUCAGAUGUGAAAACUGAGGGCUCAACCUUCAGACUGCAUUUGAAACUGCUGUUCUUGAGUGAAGUAGAGGUAAGCGGAAUUCCUAGUGUAGCGGUGAAAUGCG
rnacentral:rRNA from 1 species